CGGGCGGCCGUGACCCUGCUGGAGUGCGGGGGGGACCUCCAGCCCCCCGGGGGGUCCCUGCGCCUCCUCUGCCGCACCUCUGGGUUUGAUUUUGAAAAAUUUGCAACGCUGUGGUUCCGCCAGAGACCCGGGCAGGGGCUGGAAUUUGUGGCGGGGAUCAGCAGAAGUAGUGGCAGCAUCUAUUACGCGGACUCGGUCAAGGGCCGGUUCACGCUGGCGAGCGACAACGGGCAGAGCUCGCUGACGCUGACCAUGAACAACCUCAAGGACGAGGAUUCCGGAUCCUAUUUCUGUGCCAAAACCAGUGCUGAUACUUGUUACCCUUCCCCAAACCCCAGCCCCUGA